GCCCAGGAUCUGAAGCCACAAAACCCCAGGCCACCAAAGCAGAGCCUGAGAACUUAACCACUGGGCCACAGGUCGUCCCCUAUAAUACUAUACUCUCACACCCAUCUGCAUAUUGCUCAACUAACUUUAAAAAGGAGAAGAAUUAGUAGAAUUCAGUGAUAUGGCAUACUGAUAAGUGCUUAUUUAAAGCUGUGUGUAUGUUUGCAUUAUUCAAUUUUAAAUACUAUUUUUUUCUUACUGAACAAUAAGCAGAAGUUCCUUAUAUUAAAAAAUAGAAGUUAUUAUGAACAAAAUAAGAAUAUUAAAGUAAUCCGUAAUUUAAUACCCUUGGAAAUCAACUGCUAACAUCUAGGUAUAUAAAUUAUUUUAUUUUAUUUUAUUGUUAAAAAAUGAGAUUGCACAUUUUACAUAAUUUAUAACCUCCCUUUGUAUUUAGUGAUAUAUCAUUGAUCAUCUUUGCACAUUGUUAUGGACUGAACUGUGUCCCCCUCCAAAUUCAUAUGUUGGUGUUCCAAGCCCCAAUGUUAGAUGUUACUAUAUUUGGAAAUAAGUUCUUAAAGGAGGAUGAAGGAUAAAAGAGGUGAUAAGGGUGGGACUCCUAAUCUAAUCUAAUCUAAUCUGGUCAGUUUAAUGUCCUUUUAAGAAGAGGAAGAGGCACAGAGAGCUCUCUCUCCUGUAGCACAGAGAAAAGCUCACGUGAGACAGGGCGAAAAGUUGCCCUCUGCCAGUAUAAGAAAGAGUGCUCAGCAGAAACCAACCUUGCUGGCACCUCGGUCUUAGACUCCAGCCUCCAGAACAGUGAGAAAAUAAAUUUCUGUUGUUUAAGCCCCCUAAUCUGUGGGUUUUGUUAUGUCCGUCCAAGGAGACUGAUACAUACAUUAACAAAUGUGUUUCCAUAACAACAUUUUAAAUAUCUUCUGUAUAUCAUAAUUUAUUUUUACUUUCUAUUAUUGGAUAGAUGGAUUACUUCAAUAUAUUUGAAUCUUAAUAUUUACUUUCAUAGGAAAAUUCCCAGAAAUAUUUUUGAAUAUGAAGCAAUGCACAUUUCUAAAUACUUUUGAUCCAUAUUGGUAACUGUUAGUCCAACUUAUACUUCUGUAAGCUGUGUAAGGGUGCGACCAUUUCAUAAUAUCUCCACAAGCGAAGGAAUUAUCAUUUUUCAAAAAUCUUUGUGAAUCUGGUAGCCAAAAAUUACAACUGAUUUACUUUUUGUUUAAUCUGAAUUUUUGGGUUUGUAGUGAAGUGAGCUUUUUGUUAGCCUGUUUAUGUUUCUGCUUUGUGACUUGCACAUGCACAUCCACUCACUGCUUUUCUCCACCCUUGAAGGUAUUUAUUUUUUUAAUUACGAGAGAAAAUAUGCUUAUAAAUAUCUAUUUUUCCAUUGUAAGAAAAUUAUAUGCAGAGCCAAGAGAGUGUUGUGAAUAUUUAUUUCAGUGACAUGAGAAACAAAUUUAUCUGUGGCGAGUGUGGCAUUGACUGGUACUUGAGCAUAAAGAGCAUGGGAAAUACUUCGUUUUCCCAUCACCAUUUCCUUAUGUUAUUUCUUCUAAUUGCUGCUUCUCAUAAAAUCUUUACUUUCUCUGCUGAUCUUUUAAGUGGUAAUAUUUCCCAUGGCCAGGUCCUCAUUUUACACAUGCCAAUUAGUUAGUCAAUAUCCUAUAUUCAUUUGCUGAUGAAUAUUCCAAAUCUGUAACAACUUCUUAUAUCUGUCUGAACCCAAUUUGUCUCUUCUGAUUUCUCUCAAAGAAUGACUACAUCUUCCACUCAGGUUCCAACAUCAGCAGCAUGGAUGCCAUCUUUGACUCAUUUAUUUUCUUCAGUUUACAUCUAAUGAGCCAAGACUUUAAUUACUUCAACAAACAUUUAUUGAUCUGCUGCACUAUAUCAGACAAUGUUCUAGACUCUUGGGAUACAGCAGGAAACAAAGCAAACUAAGCUUCUAUUUUUGCAGAACUUAUACUUAGUGGGUGUAUGUAUUAGUCAGGGUCCCGUCAGAACAAGAAAUGAACCAAGAACAUUUAAUUGAAAGAAUUAUCAACUAAUUUCAGGCAUCUAACUAUUAAGGGAUAAAGGAACUCUAAAGAAUACCAGAAUAGCAGAUACAACUUCCAAGGCUGAGAGCACACCGAAGGAAGAAACAAAUUUGGAAAAGACUGCCCUCCCCUAAAGGCUGAGAUUCAGACCUUACUGGAAAGGAUGUGGAUGUAAUCCCAUUGGAUGGUACGGAUGGUAGAGACUUUGACUGAGAUGCCACUGGCAAGGACUGGCAAGCAGGAAACUGCCUGCUGGGGAAUGAUGUGCUUAGAAGCCACGCAUUGGGCACCGGCAAGCAUCCUGGGAUGCUUCCCACUGGAAUGCCACCAAGAUGUGCUCAGAAGCUUUUCACUGGGUAUCUGGUAAAUCUGGUUGGCAAGCCACCUGCUGGGGUGUGAUUGAAAUUCACUGGGAGACCCCCACCUUGCCCAGACUCCCUGUGAAAGCUCACUGGAUAGUGAAUGCCACUGAUGUCCUGCAUGCCAACGGUGGCUGUGCGCUGUGGGAGCAGGAACAAAAGCACCCCAGAGCUUGAACCAUGCCUCUUGCAGUGUUCUUCUUGUGCUCUUUACUUACAAAGUUCAACAUUGUGCCAGCUGGCAAAGUAGAAAUGUUUGCAGGGUUCAGAUUCAGUAUCACAAGAAAGGCAAAGAAGGAAGGUUUUCUUGAUGAGGCAAAAAGUUAUUAAGUGGCACAGUCCACUCCUUUGGUUAUAAUAACAAAACAAUUCUAUGUUUCCACUUAACCAGAUAGAACUAUAAUUAGCAUAAGGAAAGUUGUCAACUGUUCCCCAAAAUGUGAAGGAACCGAGUCCCAAGAGUCACUUUAUCCAUUUCUGGCUAUAUUAAAUUACUCUUCAAAUUCUGUGACAGUCCUGUUGAAUAUUAUGUACCUGAAAACUAAAUUAUAAGGUUAACCUGUGACAACCUGUAUAUAAAUUAAUAAUGAGUAUAAGGAGAUAAAAGAAGCAAAUGACUAGCAUAUCUAAACACAUGCAUAGACAAGCAAAGAGAAAAUAAAGUCACUAUAUAUCUUGACUCCAUAAUUGGUCAUGAGUCUGUCCUUGGUCUGUAAUUGAACUAUGACUACCGUCUUCUGCUACCAUUCUGUAUUAUCCUGCUCUCAUCAGGAACUCAGAUGGUUGCAGUUUUACCUGCUGAAGUCACCCAAACACUCAUUCCCAAAGGAUCUGAUUGCUCAAUAGUCCUGAAGUUUUGGGAUUGCUGUAGUUUUCUUAGUUUUUUUCCAAGUACUAAAAGGCAUCUCAGAGAAUUCCCUGGGCUCUAGACAUAGUUCUUUCUUCCCCUCAUUGCAUAGCAUUUACCCAAUUUGUCCUUGGUAAAUGGGAUCAAUCUGUCCAGCCAGUAGGAUAACUCCUUUUUAUGCCUGUAUUUUCAGUGGCAUCAAGAGCCCAAAAUGGUCCAGUGGCAGGCUCAGUUUACAGUUUAAUGGAACCACUGUCGUGCUCCAUGGUGGAAGCCUUCCUUCCUUGGGGUCUAAGACCUCCAAAACAGCAGAGCUCAGGGUGUUCAGGAGAGAAAGCAGAAGCUAUGGGAGUGCCUUAUUAAGUAUAACAGUGAGAGAAGCCAUUUCAACGAUGACUCUUUGAUUUCAAGAACUAUGUAUGCUGGAUCUAGGGGACAAGGUGCCAUAAUGUGAUCUCUAAUUCAAGGAUAUACAGCAUCCUCUAAGAUGACUUCACUUGCCUCCCAGCUGGCACUGUAUCUGAGUUUUUCAUAAGCCAUUACACCUUCCAAUUGGACCAGCUGCUACUGGGUGAUGGAGUAUAUGGUAAGAGCUCUCUUGAAGCCCACAGAUGUGGAUUGAGGUAGAAGAGACAAUGUAAAAGAAGUUGACUUCAAAUCCAUCUGAGUCGCUGUGCAACCUGCUCAUACCUGUCAGACCUUUCUGUAGGUCUCUUAUAUAACACUGAUGGUAGAUUGCCUUUGUGAGUGACAAUUUUAUGGCAAGUUCAGGCUUAUGAUGAAGAAUUCUCCUCUGAAUACUAUUGUCUACGGCUUUCAAAGGACACAUAUAUGCAUUUCUCUUGGAUCGAUGUUCAAAAGUGGAAUGGCUCCUUCCUAGAAUUUAUGUAUGUCAAGUAUAUGUAAUAAAAACAUCAUCUUUGCCUGUCUUCCACUGUUUAAAAUGUUGUCUUUUGAUCGACACAAGGUCUAACUUUUUAAAUUAAACUUUCUUUUAAAUUAAUAGACUAUUUUUAAAGAGAUUUUUAGGGUUAUAGAAAAGUUGAGUAGUAUAAAGUACAGAGAGUCCCCAUUCAUGAUCUAGUUUAAUGUUGUCCAAGCUAGCAAUAUUUUCCUUCAUCCUUAAUGCUUUAAGAGCUUUGUUUAAGAAAUCUUUGCUUAUCCCCAAAUCAAGAGAUGUUUGCCUCCUCCAAAUUCAGAAUAUGUUCAACUUUAUCAACCAGAGCAUUUUUGUUUUAACUUUUACCUCUAGAGUUACUAUCCAUGUGAAAUUUUCACCACUACGUAUUUUCCUGUUGAUCUGCAAGAUCACUAUUGCCAUCAGUCAAGUAUCCAUAUAUGAAUGUCUAUUUCUGAAUUCCAUUAUCUUUUACUUAACAAUUCAUCAACCCUUGUAACCACUGCAACACUGUCUUAAUUACCAUGUAUCUUUGUAAACCUUGAUACACAAUUGUAUAUAUAUUUUAUUAUUUUAUUCAUAUUGUUUCUUGAUUCUUAAGAUCUCACUACCUUGAAUACCCAAUACCUUUCAGGAUUUUUUUCUGUCUUUUCUAGUUGUUCCCCAUUAUUUUCAUCUUGUCUAUCAUUACUAAUGUGGAAGCAAUGGCAAUACUUUCCAAGUAAUACACAAUAAUGGUGUGAGGUGAUGUCCCUCUUGCUCUCCCUUGCUCUGUCCAAAAUAUAUCAAAACAGAGAGGCAUAGAGAACGUGAUGGACUGAGCAUAAUGACAUACGUCUAUGCCAUCAUCUUCCCUGCAGGGCUGCUUCCCCUGUUGAGAGUUACCUGUAUUUGUUUACUUACUUAGUCUUCCUUCAUUCAUUAUAUAAUUUCUCUUGGUUUGUGGACUUCCUCUUUACUGCAGUCUCUGCAUGAUCAUUAUAGAAAACAUCUAUGUUAUAGGUUGAACUGUGUCUCCCCAAAAUUCAAGUGUUGAAGUCCUAACCCCCAGUAUGUCAAUA